rnacentral:rRNA from 1 species
AACGAACGCUGGCGGCAGGCCUAACACAUGCAAGUCGAGCGCGCCCUUCGGGGUGAGCAGCGGACGGGUGAGUAACGCGUGGGAACGUGCCCUUUUCUACGGAAUAGCCUCGGGAAACUGAGAGUAAUACCGUAUACGCCCUUUGGGGAAAGAUUUAUCGGAAAAGGAUCGGCCCGCGUUGGAUUAGGUAGUUGGUGGGGUAAUGGCCUACCAAUCCGACGAUCCAUAGCUGGUUUGAGAGGAUGAUCAGCCACACUGGGACUGAGACACGGCCCAGACUCCUACGGGAGGCAGCAGUGGGGAAUCUUAGACAAUGGGGGCAACCCUGAUCUAGCCAUGCCGCGUGAGUGAUGAAGGCCUUAGGGUUGUAAAGCUCUUUCAGCUGGGAAGAUAAUGACGGUACCAGCAGAAGAAGCCCCGGCUAACUCCGUG